rnacentral:rRNA from 1 species
CCUACGGGAGGCAGCAGUGGGGAAUAUUGGACAAUGGGGGAAACCCUGAUCCAGCGACGCCGCGUGAGUGAAGAAGUAUUUCGGUACGUAAAGCUCUAUCAGCAGGAAAGAAAAUGAUGGUACCUGACUAAGAAGCCCCGGCUAACUACGUGCCAGCAGCCGCGGUAAUACGUAGGGGGCAAGCGUUAGCCGGAUUUACUGGGUGUAAAGGGAGCGUAGACGGCAGCGCAAGUCUGGAGUGAAAUGCCGGGGCGCAACCCCGGAACUGCACGGGAAACUGUGAAGCUGGAGUGCAGGAGAGGGAAGCGGAAUUCCAGGUGUAGCGGUGAAAUGCGUAGAUAUCAGGAGGAACACCGGCGGCGAAGGCGGCUUACUGGACUGUAACUGACGUUGAGGCGCGAAGGCGUGGGGAGCAAACAGGAUUAGAUACCCCAGUAGUC